AAGAGGGCGGUGUGACUAGCAAAUGAAGCGUAGAAGACCCAUCAGCAGUGGAGGUUGCUGGGGACAACGGCUGAUGAAGCCUUCUCACGGUGCAGGAUACUUGUCUCUCCCAAACCAACCAAGGCUGCAUUAACCUUUCCUGAAAAUAAAAAACAGUUCUGCUUUUACCAUUUGGGGGCCUGAGGCAAGUGUUCAAAUAGAAGCCCUCCUGCCAGUCUAUUAAAUGAAGCUACUAAACUAUUAAAUAGAA